AUUGAACGCUGGCGGCAGGCCUAACCCCUGCAAGUCGAGCGAGCGGCGGACGGGUGAGUAAUGUAUGGUGACUGCUCGUUAGAGGGGUAUCACUACCGGAAACGCUAGCUAAUACCGCAUACUAUCGGAUUAUCCCGAUGGGAUUAGCUAGUAGGUGGGGUAAUGGCUCACCUAGGCGACGAUCCCUAGCUGGUCUGAGAGGAUGAUCAGCCACACGGGGACUGAGACACGGCCCAGACUCCUACGGAGGCAGCAGUGGGGAAUAUUGCACAAUGGGCGCAAGCCUGAUGCAGCCAUGCCGCGUGUAUGAAGAAGGCCCUAGGGUUGUAAAGUACUUUCAGUCGGGAGGCGUUACCGACAGAAGAAGCACCGGCUAACUCCGUGCCAGCAGCCGCGGUAAUAC
rnacentral:rRNA from 1 species